UUGGACAUGGGGGCAACCCUGAUCCAGCCAUGCCGCGUGUGUGAAGAAGGCCUUUUGGUUGUAAAGCACUUUAAGCAGUGAAGAAGACUCCAUGGUUAAUACCCAUGGACGAUGACAUUAGCUGCAGAAUAAGCACCGGCUAACUCUGUGCCAGCAGCCGCGGUAAUACAGAGGGUGCAAGCGUUAAUCGGAAUUACUGGGCGUAAAGCGAGCGUAGGUGGCUUGAUAAGUCAGAUGUGAAAGCCCCGGGCUUAACCUGGGAACGGCAUCUGAUACUGUUAGGCUAGAGUAGGUGAGAGGAAGGUAGAAUUCCAGGUGUAGCGGUGAAAUGCGUAGAGAUCUGGAGGAAUACCGAUGGCGAAGGCAGCCUUCUGGCAUCAUACUGACACUGAGGUUCGAAAGCGUGGGUAGCAAACAGGAUUAGAUACCCUGGUAGUCCACGCCGUAAACGAUGUCUACUAGUCGUUGGGUCCCUUGAGGACUUAGUGACGCAGCUAACGCAAUAAGUAGACCGCCUGGGGAGUACNGCCGC
rnacentral:rRNA from 1 species